CAAUAGCAGUUGGUGGUUGCAUGGCUACCAUUGUCUCUUAGGAACAAUAUACAGUUAGUUACUGUGCUGAUUCAAUGUUGGAUUGAGUGAACUUGUUCAGGCUUUUUCACACAUUCAGGUUUUCAUUUGAGGGUGAAGAACAUAAGCAUAUAUCCAAAACCGGCAAAACAACUGUACAAAUUUCUGGCCAGAGCCAAAUUUUAACAACUAGAUUAAUCUAUUUUUAUUUAUUUAUUUCUGAGUUGUUGUAGCUACCUGAUCCAAUGUCCAUAUUUCUCAAGGAACAACUACGUGUCUGGAGAGCAUUCAAUGGAGAUAUUUGCUUGACUAACCUCCUUUUUUUUUAUCACUGUUGGUUUUCGGUGUAUUGUCUUAAAAUUAUAUGGGUCCAUGAUAAUAACAUGUGCUGUAUUGGCUUUUACACUCAAGGGUUACUUUCUCGUCUUGUUUUUA